GUGCCAGCAGCCGCGGUAAUUCCAGCUCCAGUGGCGUAUGCCAAUGUUGCUGCGGUUAAAAGGCUCGCAGUUGAAUGUCGGUUAAUAUACGCGAAGUGAUGCCGGGACGUUGCGAGCUUUGCGGCCUCUGUGCAGCAUUGUGAGCCGUCUCUCCAAGUGCAUCUCUGGCGGGCUAACGAUUAGAUUGGCGACGCAGAGUGGGUCUUCUCGCGCACGUUCGUUCUCGGACGUGUGUGCUCGGCUCACUCGCACGUGUCGCCGGUUGACACCUUGAGUAAAUCAGAGUGCUUAAAGCAGUCGUUGAAACACUACGGCUGCGAUCUCCACCUCUCGCGAGGCAUAGGGUCGUAUGUCUAUGGUGACGUCGCAAGACGUUUGGACAUUGUCUUUGCUUUGCAUGGUACGUCGGAAGACGCCGUGUGAGUUGGUUGCGCUUACGGUCAGACACACCAGCAGUGUGUGCGCGUGCACCAACGAGCUCGGAAUGAACUGAAAGGGAUGGCUCGAAGGCAUUGGUAUUGCGGGGCGAGAGGUGAAAUUCUAUGACCCCCGCAAGACUUCCCGAAGCGAAAGCGUCUGCCUAGGACGUCUUCAUUAAUCAUGAACGAAAGUUGAAGGAUCGAAGACGAUCAGAUACC
rnacentral:rRNA from 1 species